UGGGGUAUGGCUCAGUGGCAGAGCGCUUACCUAGCAUAUGUGAGGCACUGGGUCCGAUCCUCAGUACCACAU
rnacentral:tRNA from 1 species